rnacentral:rRNA from 1 species
AGAGUUUGAUCCUGGCUCAGGACAAACGCUGGCGGCGUGCGUAACACAUGCAAGUCGGACGGGGGUAUAGUUCUUGAGUGAUCAAGAGGUGUACUCGAGUGGCGGACGGGUGAGUAACACGUGGAUAACCUGCCCUGGUGUGGGGGAUACCCUGUAGAAAUACGGGCUAAUACCGCAUAUGGUCAUCUUGGGGGAGCCGA